AGCUCGGUGGUGCAGUGGAUAGCAUGUGGGGCUCAUAACCCCAAGGUCGACGGAUCGAAACCGUCCUGAGCUA
rnacentral:tRNA from 1 species